rnacentral:tRNA from 1 species
AGUUCAGUUGGUAGAGCGCUCCACUUGUAAUGGAGAGGUCCCGGGUUCGAUACCCGG